GACGAACGCUGGCGGCGUGCUUAACACAUGCAAGUCGAACGGAAAGGCCCUGCUUUUGUGGGGUGCUCGAGUGGCGAACGGGUGAGUAACACGUGAGUAACCUGCCCUUGACUUUGGGAUAACUUCAGGAAACUGGGGCUAAUACCGGAUAGGAGCUCCUGCUGCAUGGUGGGGGUUGGAAAGUUUCGGCGGUUGGGGAUGGACUCGCGGCUUAUCAGCUUGUUGGUGGGGUAGUGGCUUACCAAGGCUUUGACGGGUAGCCGGCCUGAGAGGGUGACCGGCCACAUUGGGACUGAGAGACGGACCAGACGCCUACGGGAGGCAGAAGUGGGGAGUAUUGCACAAUGGGCGGAAGCGUGAUGCAGCAACGCCGGGUGCGGGAUGACGGCCUUCGGGUUGUAAACCGAUUUCGACUGUGACGAAGCGUGAGUGACGGUAAUGGGUAAAGAAGCACCGGCUAACUACGUG
rnacentral:rRNA from 1 species